rnacentral:rRNA from 1 species
GGGCACGACACCGGAGAGGGAGCCUGAGAAACGGCUACCACANNCAAGGAUGGCAGCAGGCGCGCAAAUUACCCAAUCCCGACACGGGGAGGUAGUGACAAUAAAUAACAAUACGGGGUUCUUUCGGAUCUCGUAAUUGGAAUGAGUACAAUUUAAAUCUCUUAACGAGGAACAAUUGGAGGGCAAGUCUGGUGCCAGCAGCCGCGGUAAUUCCAGCUCCAAUAGCGUAUAUUAAAGUUGUUGCAGUUAAAAAGCUCGUAGUUGAAUUUCGGGGUUAGUAGGUUGGUCAUGCCUCUGGUAUGUACUGGUCUCACUGAUUCCUCCUUCCUGAUGAACCGUAAUGCCAUUAAUUUGGUGUUGCGGGGAAUUUGGACUGUUACUUUGAAAAAAUUAGAGUGUUUAAAGCAAGCUAACGCUUGAAUACAUUAGCAUGGAAUAAUGAAAUAGGACGUUCGAUCCUAUUUUGUUGGUUUCUAGGAUUGACGUAAUGAUUAAUAGGGAUAGUUGGGGGCAUUAGUAUUCAAUUGUCAGAGGUGAAAUUCUUGGAUUUAUUGAAGACUAACUACUGCGAAAGCAUUUGCCAAGGAUGUUUUCAUUAAUCAAGAACGAAAGUUAGGGGAUCGAAGACGAUCAGAUACCGUCGUAGUCUUAACCAUAAACUAUGCCGACUAGGGAUCGGAUGAUGUUAAUUUUUUAAUGACUCAUUCGGCGCCUUACGGGAAACCAAAGUGUUUGGGUUC